rnacentral:rRNA from 1 species
GAGUUUGAUCAUGGCUCAGACGAACGCNNNGUGCGCGUAUGCAUGCAAGCUGAGCGAAGCUUUUCAGUAGUUUACUACAGAAAAUGACUGAGCGGCGAACGGGUGAGUAACGCGUGAGCAAUCUACUUUAGUUACUGGGAUAGCCCGAGGAAACUCGGAUUAAUACCGGAUAUUCUUAUUUUUUCACAUGAAAUUUUAAGGAAAGGUCAGCCGAACUAAGAUGAGCUCGCGUUCUAUCAGCUAGUUGGUGGGGUAAAAGCCUACCAAGGCUACGACGGAUAGCUGGUCUGAGAGGACGAUCAGCCACACUGGGACUGAGACACGGCCCAGACUCCUACGGGAGGCUGCAGCAGGGAAUAUUGCGCAAUGAGCGAAAGCUUGACGCAGCGACACCGCGUGUGGGAUGACGGUUCUAGGAUUGUAAACCACUUUCAGGAGGGAAGAAAAUGACGGUACCUCCACAAGAAGACCCGGCCAACUACGUGCCAGCAGCCGCGGUAAUACGUAGGGGUCAAGCGUUGUCCGGAUUUAUUGGGCGUAAAGAGCUCGUAGGCGGUUCAACAAGUCGGUCGUAAAAGUUUAGGGCUCAACCCUAAAAUGUCGAUCGAUACUGUUGUGACUAGGAUACGGUAGAGGUGAAUGGAAUUCCGAGUGUAGCGGUGAAAUGCGUAGAUAUUCGGAGGAACACCAAUUGCGAAGGCAGUUCACUGGACCGUGAUCGACGCUGAGGAGCGAAAGCUAGGGGAGCAAACAGGAUUAGAUACCCUGGUAGUCCUAGCUGUAAACGAUGGAUACUAGAUGUAGGAACUGGAUUGACGGUUUCUGUAUCGUAGCUAACGCGUUAAGUAUCCCGCCUGGGGAGUACGGUCGCAAGACUAAAACUCAAAGGAAUUGACGGGACCCCGCACAAGCGGCGGAGCAUGCGGCUUAAUUCGAUGAUACCCGUAGAACCUUACC